CCAGACUCCUACGGGAGGCAGCAGUGGGGAAUAUUGCACAAUGGGGGAAACCCUGAUGCAGCGACGCCGCGUGAGUGAAGAAGUAUUUCGGUAUGUAAAGCUCUAUCAGCAGGGAAGAAAAUGACGGUACCUGAUUAAGAAGCCCCGGCUAACUACGUGCCAGCAGCCGCGGUAAUACGUAGGGAGCGAGCGUUGUCCGGAUUUACUGGGUGUAAAGGGUGCGUAGGCGGCUUGGCAAGUCAGUAGUGAAAUCCACGGGCUUAACCCAUGAACUGCUAUUGAAACUGUCGAGCUUGAGUGAAGUAGAGGUAGGCGGAAUUCCCGGUGUAGCGGUGAAAUGCGUAGAUAUCAGGAGGAACACCGGUGGCGAAGGCGGCUUACUGGACCAUAACUGACGUUGAGGCUCGAAAGCGUGGGGAGCGAACAGGAUUAGAUACCCUGGUA
rnacentral:rRNA from 1 species